rnacentral:rRNA from 1 species
CGAAAGGAACGCUAAUACCGCAUACGUCCUACGGGAGAAAGCAGGGACCUUCGGGCCUUGCGCUAUCAGAUGAGCCUAGGUCGGAUUAGCUAGUUGGUGAGGUAAUGGCUCACCAAGGCGACGAUCCGUAACUGGUCUGAGAGGAUGAUCAGUCACACUGGAACUGAGACACGGUCCAGACCUCCUACGGGAGGCAGCAGCC